rnacentral:pre_miRNA from 1 species
AGUUGAUGUGACAUGCCCGUUGGGGUUUUGCUCUGAUAUUGAAUUAUUAUUAUUAUUUAAUUGAUUUUGGGAAACCGGGUGUUACACCUUU